UACGUAGGGUGCGAGCGUUAAUCGGAAUUACUGGGCGUAAAGCGUGCGUAGGUGGUUCGUUAAGUCUGAUGUGAAAGCCCUGGGCUCAACCUGGGAAUGGCAUUGGAAACUGGCGAUCUAGAGUGCGGUAGAGGGCAGUGGAAUUCCCGGUGUAGCAGUGAAAUGCGUAGAGAUCGGGAGGAACAUCUGUGGCGAAGGCGACUGCCUGGACCAGCACUGACACUGAGGCACGAAAGCGUGGGGAGCAAACAGG
rnacentral:rRNA from 1 species